rnacentral:rRNA from 1 species
GACGAACGCUGGCGGCGUGCCUAAUACAUGCAAGUAGAACGCUGAAGGAGGAGCUUGCUUCUCUGGAUGAGUUGCGAACGGGUGAGUAACGCGUAGGUAACCUGCCUGGUAGCGGGGGAUAACUAUUGGAAACGAUAGCCAAUACCGCAUAAGAGUAGAUGUCGCAUGACAUUUGCUUAAAAGGUGCAAUUGCAUCACUACCAGAUGGACCUGCGUUGUAUUAGCUAGUUGGUGAGGUAACGGCUCACCAAGGCAACGAUACAUAGCCGACCUGAGAGGGGGAUCGGCCACACUGGGACUGAGACACGGCCCAGACUCCUACGGGAGGCAGCAGUAGGGAAUCUUCGGCAAUGGACGGAAGUCUGACCGAGCAACGCCGCGUGAGUGAAGAAGGUUUUCGGAUCGUAAAGCUCUGUUGUAAGAGAAGAACGAGUGUGAGAGUGGAAAGUUCACACUGUGACGGUAUCUUACCAGAAAGGGACGGCUAACUACGUG